UGGAAAAUAUUGACUACAACCGAUACCCAAAUGAAGAGUUCCAACGAAACUGGAUAAGGAGCUACCUUUCCCACUACAAGAAUGUAUCACCAGAGAAAGUGGAAGAGAGUCAGAUCAGCCAGUGGUAUGUCUGGGUGAACAAGUUUGCCCUUGCGUCUCAUGUCUUCUGGGGGGUAUGGGCUCUGCUGCAAGCAUGCCACUCCUCUAUUGACUUUGACUUUUUCGGUUAUGCUCUGAUCCGGCUGGAUGAAUACACAAAGAGAAAGGAGGAGUGUCUGGCGCUUAUGGGUGAAGGAUCUUAACUGCAAUAAAUAAAGUGUAUGUUGUUUUAGGAUACAUUUUUAGAUGAGUAAUGUCAAGAUUCAUAAUGAAUGCAUACAGUAUAUACUGUACUUAAUUAUGUUUGAGUAAUUACCUGUUUUGGAAACUGUCUCAGGUGCUGCUACUUUUAUACAUUUUGGAUU